GAAAAAGAAAGAGAAUCAAGCUAAUCGAGUUUCGAUAUAUCGCAACAUCAAAUGGCGUUCCUGUAGCUGCUGACAUCUGGCGAAAGGAUGUAUUCUUGGAACGAAUGUAUACCUUCACCAGAGGAAAGGACUCUACAUUAGAAAUUACGAGAAGUUCGUGACGAAAUAAUAUCUACUGAAAUGGAAUUCUUCGACUCCUCGGAAAUUGCGUAUCUCAAAGAAAGUAAUAGCGGUCCCACCGUGCGAAGAAAGAAAGUAGAUUGUACACGCCAGUAGUAAAUAUCGCAUGAGAAAGAACUUCUAUUCUUUUAAAAUGAUAUGGGAACCCUUUCCUAUGAGAAUUAAUCAAAAUCCCUUCUCCUGAGGCAAAUGGUGCCUCGAGUUUCGCUUGAAACUUGUUUUCAUCGUAUGAUUGGAGAGACAGAGGAGAAAGGAUGAUGACCGGACCCAUUUUCGAAGCCUGAGGCUAACAUCACAAAAAGGAGGACUUGAGGAUAAUCAAAAAGUGUCGAUUCGAAAGAAAAAGUACAUUUUAACAUUUGACAAGCUGUUGAUUAAAUCGAAUUUUAAUUUCUAUAAUAUGAUCGAUCUAUUUCGAAAUAAAAAUAAUUUCAGAUAAAUGGACGAUUGUAUUUAUUGUUAUCGAAGAUCUUAUUUAAGAAACGAUUUAACAAGAGUCAUAAAAAAAGACCAUAAAUCCAUUCGAUAAUGGGUAAAAGGAUAUUGACUUUUGACGAUAGGAAAAAACAAGAAAAACAUUUCUUCUAUUCGAUUCUUUUCUCUUCUAUCCACAAAGUGAGCGUUUUUCUUGGCAAGUAAGAUUGUUCAGCGAGGCACUUCGCCGGUGAAUGGAAUCUAACGUCCGAUACUUUCGCAGGCAUCCAGCUCUGUAUGCUUUCGUUUUGCACUUCUUAACCGGAAGUCUCGAGGCCGGUGUAACCGAACAUUUUCAACGAUCCUUGCUUGAUGUAAUUCGUAAUUUAAUACUGUUAUUAAACAUUUCGACAUUUUUCUUAUCUGAUAAUAAAAAAGACAACAAACUCUUCAGAUGUGGGAAGAUA
rnacentral:lncRNA from 1 species